rnacentral:rRNA from 1 species
UACAGAGGUGGCAAGCGUUGUUCGGAAUUACUGGGCGUAAAGGGCGCGUAGGCGGCCUUCUAAGUCAGACGUGAAAUCCCCCGGCUUAACCUGGGAACUGCGUCUGAUACUGGGAGGCUUGAGUAUGGGAGAGGGAUGUAGAAUUCCAGGUGUAGCGGUGAAAUGCGUAGAUAUCUGGAGGAAUACCGGUGGCGAAGGCGGCAUCCUGGACCAUAACUGACGCUAAGGCGCGAAAGCUAGGGGAGCAAACGGG